rnacentral:lncRNA from 1 species
GCGCCCUUGGUGUCGCAGAUGUAGCGGUACAGCUCGCCGUUGCGGACGCGGUUCAUCUGGGCGGAGAUCCAGCGGAUGUGCCCGUUCAGGUUGUACUGCUCGAUGAGGUCAAACAUCUUCUUGAACUCGGCCUGCUCCUCCUUGUCCUUGGAAGGGUUGCCAUGGUCGCCGCAGACGACCACGAGGUUCACCAGCUCCUGCAGCCGCUUGUUCCGGCCGUACAGCUCCACCAGCCCAGUCAAGUUCUUCACACGGUCGAGACGAGCCAUGGAGAAGAUGAUUGGCUUGUUCCUGUCGUUCAGAACGAACCUGCACGGGCGUUUGCAGAUACAGAUACAAAUACAGUCAGAUAACAACAACCAAUACCGCUUAGCUUGAGCAAGGCACAGGCGGUUUCUCACUUGUGCUCCGUGUUCUCGGUUUGGCUGUACAGGAGCUCCUCAAUCUCCGGGUGAAGGGAGGUCAGCCUCUUGUGCGACUCGGUGUACGGGAAGUAGAUGGACAGGUCCGCGCCAGGAGACACGAUGUUGAACUUGGGGUCGAACACAUCAAUGCCGUGGACAACGCGGUACAGGCCAGGCAUUGUGAACGCCAUGUGUGACUCGUACUGGCCGACGGUGUCCUUGCUGAAGACCCAGAACAGAAGAUGGCAUGCAUUAGAUCAUGGGAAUUUAACAACCUUGAACAUUAAUCUUGCUUGUAUAUAUAUAGAUCACUUACUUUCCGGCGAUCUCUUGGAAGGUACUGGUGAUGAUGAAGUCGGCAUGGUUCAUUGCAAUCAAGUCAGUGGUGAACUGGCACGAGAAGUGGUAGUGAUCCUCAAACUUCUUCCAGUAGAGGUCGGAGUUAGGGUACUUAGUUUUCUCAAGCGCAUGGGCAAUGGUACACUGCAAUAUGUAUCAAGGAAAAAGAAGGCCAACAUGAGGAAUGAGCAGGAGGUGGUAAUUAAAAAAAAAUUACUUCCAGUUGAAUCGAAAAGAGUCCAUACGUGAGUAACACCCAUCUUGUGGGCGAGCAAACACGCAACAAGGUUUCCGUCACUGUAGUUUCCGAUGAUCAGGUCAGGAUUGGCCUGAAGCUCUCCAGCAAUCUCAUGCGCCACGUCCUACCAACAAUUCAAACAAACAAAAAAGAGUCAGCAAGAACUAUGUCUUUCACCAACAGAUUAGUAGCAACUCCUAGUAUCUUUUGGUACUUACAUCAGUGUAAGUCUCCAGGUACGGCCAGACUUCAAAUCGCGAGAUCCACUUGCGAACGAUUCCGUUUUCUGUUCUGAAUGGCACGCGAAGGAUAUGGCAGUGCUCGGUGCCAAGGACCUUCUCAAGGCGCUGGCCACAGGUGGUGCCAGUUGCAUCAGGGAGCAACCUGGUGACCUGCGCAAAAAAAAAAUUCAAAUAAGGUUCUUAAUGUCACCAAUUUAGCCGCUAUAUUUUCCUUUUUUAUCACAUUAGGCAUCACACUUACAAUAAGGAUCUUCGGCGUGAUGUCAAGACCACACUGCUUGAUCCUCAGCAGCAUUUCGUUCUCCAUAGCGCGCACUUGAUCCAAGAUGUAGACAACCUGCAGGUGGAAUACAGAUUGAUCAGAGCGACUUCAGUGUUUCUUUUAACUGUGUAUCCGUGCCUGAGUGGCUAAGGAGAGUACCUGGCCUCCGGUGUCAGGGUAACCCAAGACAUUAGCUUGAGCGAAGUAACCAUGAGGGGAGAGGAUAACGACAUUGAACACCAUGGGGAUCGUUCCAAGGAACUUCUCCAGGGUGGACGGAUCUGGGGCCUCCAGGAGGUCCAAGAGGAGGUGGAUAGUCUCCUGUGCACGCUUAGCGCAAUCACCCCAACCCUUCUCCAGACCAAGUUCCUGGAACCUGUUUUUGUCCAGUCAGGAUUAUGUGUUAAAUCGCAAGAGUACUAGUACAUGCUUCAGUUGCUUUAGUAUAUGUAAACGAGUCAACAAAAAGUAUUCAGUACCUGUGGUGAAAUUCAGAGUAUGGGGUAUCAGCUUGUAGGGUGGACAGGUGCUCCUCAGCCUUCCUCAGCGCACCUUGCAGAGCACUGAGACUGCGGAUUCUGUCGUUCAACAUCAUGGUCUGUAGGGAACCAUAGAAUUUCAGAUUUUUCCAGCUAGUUCAAAGCCAAUUUACAACUACCACAGCAGGAAUAUAUGGAUAAAUAGUUUAAGGUGUCCUUGUGGUUAAAAAUUUUAGACAGCUCAGCAACUCAUUAUUUAUCGGGUAUGCAUCACAGGUCAGCCUUAAUGAUACAAAAUUUCCACUUUGCUAACACCCUUUUGACAACUUCUAGACAAUAUCGAUGACAUUUAAGUAAAGAAACAGAUAAAACAAUGGCUCACCAUCCCCUUGUAGUUGUGGGCGCGAAGGAAGUUGAGCAAGGGGUACAUGCUCUCCUUGUCAUGGAAGAGCUUUGAUGACAGGUGCCUGUUGAGGAACUGCACGCCAUUGCCAAUGGACUUUGACAGAGAAGGACGGGGGAAGGAGGCAUUGAAUGGCUCAAAGUCCAGCUCAAGAACAAAGUUGUUGUUGGGGCUGCAAUAUAUACACCAAAAGUAUUAUAAACUGUCAUAUAUAUGACCAAAACCUUUUUAUUUUAGAAAAGUAUAUUAAUCAUGGUAUAUUAAUCAAAGUUGUUGUUGGGGCUGCAAAAAUCAUACCCUUCUUCCACAAGCUGUUCCUUGAACUGCAGGUACUC